GACGAACGCUGGCGGCGUGCUUAACACAUGCAAGUCGAACGGUAAGGCUCCAGCUUGCUGGGGUACACGAGUGGCGAACGGGUGAGUAACACGUGGGUGACCUGCCCUGCACUUCGGGAUAAGCCUGGGAAACUGGGUCUAAUACCGGAUAGGACCGCACCGUGAGGGUGUGGUGGAAAGUUUUUUCGGUGUGGGAUGGGCCCGCGGCCUAUCAGCUUGUUGGUGGGGUAAUGGCCUACCAAGGCGGCGACGGGUAGCCGGCCUGAGAGGGUGGACGGCCACAUUGGGACUGAGACACGGCCCAGACUCCUACGGGAGGCGGCAGUGGGGAAUAUUGCACAAUGGGCGGAAGCCUGAUGCAGCGACGCCGCGUGGGGGAUGACGGCCUUCGGGUUGUAAACUCCUUUCACCAUCGACGAAGGGUUUCUGACGGUAGAUGGAGAAGAAGCACCGGCUAACUACGUGCCAGCAGCCGCGGUAAUACGUAGGGUGCGAGCGUUGUCCGGAAUUACUGGGCGUAAAGAGCUCGUAGGUGGUUUGUCGCGUCGUCUGUGAAAUUCCGGGGCUUAACUCCGGGCGUGCAGGCGAUACGGGCAUAACUUGAGUACUGUAGGGGAGACUGGAAUUCCUGGUGUAGCGGUGAAAUGCGCAGAUAUCAGGAGGAACACCGGUGGCGAAGGCGGGUCUCUGGGCAGUAACUGACGCUGAGGAGCGAAAGCAUGGGGAGCGAACAGGAUUAGAUACCCUGGUAGUCCAUGCCGUAAACGGUGGGCGCUAGGUGUGGGUUUCCUUCCACGGGAUCCGUGCCGUAGCUAACGCAUUAAGCGCCCCGCCUGGGGAGUACGGCCGCAAGGCUAAAACUCAAAGGAAUUGACGGGGGCCCGCACAAGCGGCGGAGCAUGUGGAUUAAUUCGAUGCAACGCGAAGAACCUUACCUGGGCUUGACAUAUACAGGAUCGCGCCAGAGAUGGUGUUUCCCUUGUGGCUUGUAUACAGGUGGUGCAUGGUUGUCGUCAGCUCGUGUCGUGAGAUGUUGGGUUAAGUCCCGCAACGAGCGCAACCCUUGUCUUAUGUUGCCAGCACGUUGUGGUGGGGACUCGUAAGAAACUGCCGGGGUUAACUCGGAGGAAGGUGGGGAUGACGUCAAAUCAUCAUGCCCCUUAUGUCCAGGGCUUCACACAUGCUACAAUGGUCGGUACAGUGGGUUGCCAGUCCGUGAGGGCGAGCUAAUCCCGCAAAGCCGGUCUCAGUUCGGAUCGGGGUCUGCAACUCGACCCCGUGAAGUCGGAGUCGCUAGUAAUCGCAGAUCAGCAACGCUGCGGUGAAUACAAUCCCGGGCC
rnacentral:rRNA from 1 species